AUGUACAUGCAUAUAACAUUAAUACAGUGGAUCCCAUUAGAAAUCCGCAGUUAAGCACACUUGAGGUAGAGUAGUACUGAGAUGGGUGAUCUCUCGAAAAGUCCUAGUGUCUUACAUC
rnacentral:rRNA from 1 species